ensembl:lncRNA
AGAACAGGUAUGCAACUAUCUAAUGACUAUUUUAGCAUUACAGUAAUGUACAGCCGCUUCUCCAGGCAAUGGCGGACGCAUGUGGGGACAUAGAGGUUGCCUCUGUCCAAGGUUGGAUACGCCAUGCUAGGAGAUACUUCCCUCCAUGUGGGGACAUAGAGGUUGCCUCUGUCCAUGGUUGGAUACGCCAUGCUAGGAGAUACUUCCCAACAUGUGGGGACAAAGAGGUUGCCUCUGUCCAAGGUUGGAUACGCCAUGCUAGGAGAUACUUCCCUCCAUGUGAGGACAUAGAGGUUGCCUCUGUCCAGGGUUGGAUACGCCAUGCUAGGAGAUACUUCCCAACAUGUGGGGACAUAGAGGUUGCCUCUGUCCAGGGUUGGAUACGCCAUGCUAGGAGAUACUUCCCUCCAUGUGGGGACAUAGAGGUUGCCUCUGUCCAGGGUUGGAUACGCCAUGCUAGGAGAUACUUCCCUCCAUGUGGGGACAUAGAGGUUGCCUCUGUCCAGGGUUGGAUACGCCAUGCUAGGAGAUACUUCCCAACAUGUGGGGACAUAGAGGUUGCCUCUGUCCAGGGUUGGAUACGCCAUGCUAGGAGAUACUUCCCUCCAUGUGGGGACAUAGAGGUUGCCUCUGUCCAAGGUUGGAUACGCCAUGCUAGGAGAUACUUCCCUCCAUGUUUGGCAAGAGAAAACUUAUCUUUUGAUGUGGACGAAGUAUUGUGGCCAGACCCAGGCCGGAGAAAAGAUGAAGCGUAGCCCCCCCCCUACCAAUUCCUGGACUACCCCCCUGGGACCCCACACACACAAUUGUGUUCUUUACUGUAUUCUAAAGAAUAUACUUUUGGUUUACAUAUGUUUAUGGUUUUGUUGUAUGCUACUGUAUACAACAGUAAUGUUUGGCCUAAUAAAUCUUUUCUGUUUCUACAUUGCAUUGGUGUUAACAGUGUACUUGUUACCCCUCUCAGCAGAUUACUUUCACUGUAGAACAUUGUAUUGAAAUGUAGAUAUAAGCCUAUGAAAGACCAAAGAGCUUUAGAUUUAGAACAACAGUGUUUACAUGGUGUAUCCAAAAAUGUACUAUUAUGAAAGCAGUGUUUGCCAUUUGAUGCAAAUGCUUCAUUCUGACAUGUGUUUAUGGCAUUUUGAAAGCAGUGUUACAUUUUAAAGGAGAUGUGAGGCAUUUUGCAUUUUGUGUGUGCAGUGUUGGGAAUUGUGUGUAGAGUUUUGAAAAAAGGA